rnacentral:rRNA from 1 species
GGAACUGAGACACGGUCCAGACUCCUACGGGAGGCAGCAGUAGGGAAUAUUGCUCAAUGGGGGAAACCCUGAAGCAGCAACGCCGCGUGGAGGAUGACACUUUUCGGAGCGUAAACUCCUUUUGUUAGGGAAGAACAAUGACGGUACCUAACGAAUAAGCACCGGCUAACUCCGUGCCAGCAGCCGCGGUAAUACGGAGGGUGCAAGCGUUACUCGGAAUCACUGGGCGUAAAGGACGCGUAGGCGGAUUAUCAAGUCUCUUGUGAAAUCCUAUGGCUUAACCAUAGAACUGCUUGGGAAACUGAUAAUCUAGAGUGAGGGAGAGGCAGAUGGAAUUGGUGGUGUAGGGGUAAAAUCCGUAGAGAUCACCAGGAAUACCCAUUGCGAAGGCGAUCUGCUGGAACUCAACUGACGCUAAUGCGUGAAAGCGUGGGGAGCAAACAGGAUUAGAUACCCUGGUAGUCCACGCCCUAAACGAUGUAUACUAGUUGUUGCUAAGCUAGUCUUGGCAGUAAUGCACCUAACGGAUUAAGUAUACCGCCUGGGGAGUACGGUCGCAAGAUUAAAACUCAAAGGAAUAGACGGGGACCCGCACAAGCGGUGGAGCAUGUGGUUUAAUUCGAAGAUACGCGAAGAACCUUACCCGGACUUGAUAUCUAACAAAUCAUCUAGAGAUAGAAGAGUGUCUGCUUGCAGAAAUGUUAAGACAGGUGCUGCACGGCUGUCGUCAGCUCGUGUCGUGAGAUGUUGGGUUAAGUCCCGCAACGAGCGCAACCCACGUCAUUAGUUGCUAACAGUUAGGCUGAGCACUCUAAUGAGACUGCCUUCGUAAGGAGGAGGAAGGUGUGGACGACGUCAAGUCAUCAUGGCCCUUAUGUCCGGGGCGACACACGUGCUACAAUGGCAUAUACAAUGAGAAGCAAUAUCGCGAGAUGGAGCAAAUCUAUAAAAUAUGUCCCAGUUCGGAUUGGAGUCUGCAACUCGACUCCAUGAAGCCGGAAUCGCUAGUAAUCGUAGAUCAGCCAUGCUACGGUGAAUACGUUCCCGGGUCUUGUACUCACCGCCCGUCACGCCAUGGGAGUUGAUUUCACUCGAAGCCGGAA